rnacentral:lncRNA from 1 species
UGACCCCUUUUGCUAAGCCCAUUCAUGACAAUUGAAUACAUGAAUUCAUCAGGCUCACAAAUAUGCUCUCUCACCAACUUUUUGAACAAGUUAACUGCAUCUUUGAUUUUAUUUUCAGCAAAGAGUCCCCUUAGUAAGGUGCUAAAGGUGACAACAUUAAAUGGAAUGCCACUCUUCAAGUAAAUGGCUAACACUGAAAAUCCGCAGUCAGAACGAUGCAUUAGGCAAAAACUGUUGAUCGCAAUACUCAAGAUGAAACCAUCAAUUGGGAUAUUAGAUUUCAGCAUUUGUCGAAAAAGGGAAACAACAGAAGAGUAAUGCUUCAUAUUUACCAUAGUCUUUAAUAAUUUGGAGAAGCUAAUAACAGAAGGAAGAGGCUGCGUUCUGAUCAUCCGACGGAAGAGGCUCUUUUGAGUAUGAACCAUUUUGUUGAGCUCAUUCAUGACUGUCGAAUACAUGACUUCAUCAGGCUCACAAAUAUUCUCUCUCACCAACUUUUUGAACAAGUUACUGCAUCUUUGAUUUUAUUUCCAGCAAAGAGUCCCCUUAGUAAGGUGUUAAAUGCAAUAAUAUCAAAUGGAAUGCCCUUCUUCAAGUAGAUGGCUAACAUUGAAAAUCCGCAGUCAGAACGAUGCAUUAGGCAAUAAUUGUUUAUCACUAUAUUCAAGAUGUAAUCGGUAAUUGGGAUAUUAGAUUUCAGCAUAUGUCGAAAAAAGGGAAACAACAGAAGAGUAAUGCUUCAUAUUUACCAUAGUCGUUAAUAAUUUGGAGAAGUCGAGAACAGAAGGAAGGGGCUGAGUUCUGACCAUUUGACGAAAUAGGCUCAGAGCAUCAUCUAAACACUUGACAUUCUCAAUAUUGGUACGAGAAGAAGAAUAGCUCUGCAUCUCAGGCCUGUAACCAUCAAUGCAGCAGUUAAGAAAGAAGAAGACUAC